CUCAUCAACGAACCCCAUUUCAUGUUCAUAAUCUUUACCAAUCUCAUGUCUCUUAUUCAAGAACUAGACCACCUCAAAAUCCCACUUAAAGAUAUCAAGUUAGCCACCAAGGACUUCUCGGACGACAAUUUCAUCGGCCAAGGUGGAUAUGGGAGGGUCUACAGAGGUCAACUCUCCCUUUCUGCCACCAACUCCAACAGGCCAACCACCACGGUUGCUAUAAAACGGUUAGACGUGAAGGGUGGGCAAGGACAGCAAGAGUUCUUAACGGAGCUCACCAUGCUAUCUAGUUACAAACACGACAACCUCGUCUCACUUGUUGGAUUCUGUGACGAAGAUGAUGAGAAAAUCAUUGUUUACGAACAUGAGGUCCGUGGCAGCCUAGAUAAGUAUUUGGCCACCACGGAUAUUACAUGGGUGCAAAGGAUUCUGAUAUGUCUUGGUGCUGCACGUGGUCUAAAUUAUCUUCAUAGCGGCGUGGGAGAGGGACACAGGGUAUUACAUCGUGAUAUAAAGAGCUCCAAUAUCUUGUUAGAUGUGAAUUGGGAGGCUAAAAUUUCUGAUUUCGGGUUGUCUAAAAUAGGUCCAGCGAAUCAACAGUUUACUUUUCUUGUCACAAAUGCGUGUGGUACACUUGGUUAUAUUGAUCCAUUGUAUGCGACGACUGAUAUACUUACAAAAGAAUCUGAUGUAUACUCGUUUGGUGUGGUAUUGUUUGAAGUCUUAUGUGGAAGGCUAGCAAUAGAUACUAAAUACCAUGACGAGCGUCGCUAUUUAUCUAAAUUGGUAAAACUUCAUUAUAAAGAAGGGAGAUUAGAAGAAAUUAUUAUGACCAAUCUACUUACACAAAUGAAGCUAAAUUCGUUACGAACAUUCUAUAGAAUUGCUUAUCAAUGCUUAAAAAAGGAUCGAAAACAACGCCCAACUAUGGGAAUACUCAUUGAAGAGCUACAAAACUCAUUGGAGUUUCAAAUAGGUUGUCAAAAAAUCACCCGAAUCGGGUUAUGGGGAUCAAGCACAGGUGGAACUCCAUGGUCCUUGCAGCUUGAGAAUAAUCAAAAACUUAGGAAGAUAACAAUAGAUCACAAAGAGUGGAUUUAUUCUAUGAUUUUUACAACUCAAGAUUACAGUGGUUUGUUGCAGUCGACUAAACGAUAUGGGGGUAAUAGUGGCUACAGGGGUGGCAAAGUUUCUGAGAUUAACUUCGAUGGGGACGAAGAAAUAACUGAGAUGAUUGGAACAGUUGGAGUAACUACAGGGAAUCAUGCAGGUUUUACAGUAAUCUCGUCACUGUGUUUCGUGACCAAUAAAAAGACGGAUGGGCCUUUUGGUAAACAGACAGGGGCUCGUUUUUCAGUACCAUGGGAUACAGGUUCAUUUGCAGGGUUUUAUGGUCGUGGUGGCCUUUACAUAGAUGGGUUGGGUUGUUAUUUGAGGGGUGUCAUGUGAAAUCCUUUGCUAUCCUAUUCAAAAACAUACUCUAUAUUGGAAAUAUCUGACAAGAUAUGCGAAACGGGUAGCAAUUAAUGAUCCACAAGAGAUUGUCAUCCACAAUGCAUAUACUGCUAACGCCUCCGUAAAUGCUCAUGUGGGUGACUUUGGAUGGAUCCACGGAACAUGUCUUCAGUGGAACUUGGUGUUUUUCAGUGGUUAUGACAACUGCAUCUACUUCGUCCAUUUGGGUUAUCCUGGCUACGAGUCACAGAGAACCCAUAAAACUCUGGUGGAUAGCCAUAAACCACUUCUUCCUCUGG